CACGUAGGGCGCGAGCGUUGUCCGGAAUUAUUGGGCGUAAAGAGCUCGUAGGCGGUCUGUCGCGUCGAAUGUGAAAAUCCGGGGCUCAACCCCCGGACCUGCAUUCGAUACGGGCAGACUAGAGUUCGGUAGGGGAGUCUGGAAUUCCUGGUGUAGCGGUGAAAUGCGCAGAUAUCAGGAGGAACACCGGUGGCGAAGGCGGGACUCUGGGCAUUAACUGACGCUGGAGGAGCGAAAGCAUGGGGAGCGAACAGG
rnacentral:rRNA from 1 species